UCCCACCCCCCGCAGCGCUGCGGAGCCGGGGCUCGGCGGUGCCCCCGACCCCUCUCUCCUCGCCCUGAGGUACAGAAGCAUACCAGACCGGAUCUACGCUGGGAUUCCGCUUCCCUUAACAACAGCACCCUCCGAUCCGAGCUCCCUGUAGCCGAGAUGCCUUCAGCUAAGGCUGUACCCUGGGCCUCUCUCUGGGGGAGGCCAUAGUCCAGGUGGUCUGUUCACAGCAUAGCCAUCAUGAAAAGCAUUUUCCUAUAUAUACUUUCAGCUUUGAAAUACAGACAAAAUAGGUUAUGUUCUGUUUGCUGAACGAUUUCAGUAGCUCUACAAACAUAGUUACAAUUUAUUUGCUUGCCUUUCUGGGCAGGGUGAUAGGAUGGCAAACACGAACAUUAUCCACUUCCCAUCUAGAAAUACUUCCCACACAAACCACAGCACAUCUCAUGCUUUUGGUCAUCAUUUGGUCCCAAAGCCAUGCUGACAUUUGUGUGAGUAGUGUAUGAAAUGGUGUCAGAAAACUGACUUGCAGCUGGCUGGUCUGCAAAUUGUAAGCUUAUGGACUGCUGCCAUUUUAGAUACAGAAUGGCUGCCUUGCUAUAUUAAAUAUGUCUGCUUAAACAGAAAGCAGUGAGGUUGAGUGUUUUGUUACAUACAAGAACUUGCAAAUUAAUAUUUUGUUUUCAAACCAGGCCAAUAAUUUUAAGCUCUUAUUUCCCAGUGUAAUUUCUUUCCAGGAAAAAUGACACAGUGUUCAAUUAGUGUGAGCCACUGGUGCUUUGCUUGGAACUCUCCAAGUCUCAGGAUGUGAAGAAGAGUGUCCACGUACAAAUCAUUCACGUUGCUGUACUGCCCUUAAACAGGUGAAGAUCUCCUUACUGAAAUGAGAGCUCUAUAAAAAUACUGGGGUAAUAAAUGCAUACAGUUAUCUUGCAAAGAUAAAUGGGCAAUGCAAUCUCAUGGUCUUUGGCCAAAGUGCUUCUAAUGCGGAUGGUUGAAGAUAUUUUCAAUAGAAUAAUCUCAGCAGCGUUAAAUCCAGCAGUUUAGAAUGUGAGUGCCCUAUUUCAAUCUCUUGUUUUUUAUGUACAUGUAAUACGUUCUUUCAUUGAUACAAAGCCUUCACUUGUUAAAAAGUGAAGGGAUUAGAUUAUGUCUGCUGAGGAGAUUAUGAGUAAUUAAACUUUAUGUAGAUUCUUUCAUAAAAUAUCAACAUUACAGUGUUUGUACAUAUGUGAGGAAGCUUGGCAAUGUGGAACAGCCUCUUGGUCACCUUCAGUGGAUGUUGCCAAGGAUUAACAGGACCUCUGGGUAGAAGGAUUGCUGUGUCUUUGUUUCUUAUUUUUUCUUUUCUGUGUGUGUGUGACUACUUUUGCUAACUCUUGAUGGUUUACAUUAAUAAUUCAUUUUUACUGAAAAUGGAAUUUCAAAACAA